GAAAUCUCUAUGGAGAGUUUGAUCCUGGCUCAGGAUGAACGCUGGCGGCGUGCCUAAUACAUG
rnacentral:rRNA from 1 species